UGCUUUGUGUAUAUUGUCAUUAGCAAACGAACUGGGCUGAGCCGAGCUGAUGGGCGGGUUCCUCGAAAUUGUAUUGUCCGCUAACAUUAAUGAACUUAUAUGGAUUGGAUGUGUCAACCAUUUGCCAAAUAUCCAAAUAUUCCAAUUCCGAAUAGAAGAGAGAGAGCUUAAGUCGGACUGGAUAGAAACCAAAACGCCACUCAAUCGGAGAAGAACUUUCAAAAUCAACUUUUGUGGGCCAGUGGACAGUGUGUUUGUAUGUGUUUGGUUAGCCCUCGUCAUAAUUGACAGUUUUGUGCCAAGAAUAUACCGCAAACUGUUUUAGUUUUGAUUUGGACUGGCAGCCGCCGCAGAAUGAUUCGCUUCGCUGCAUUGGCAGGUCGAGAAGCAACAACGAAAAGAUACUUUUUCGCAGAAACCGAUACUCUGUAGAGUUGGUAACAGCCGUUGGUAGUGCCCAGAAGUGACCUCUAAAUUGAAAGAACUCGAGUGCCAGACAAAAGACACCCCCACACUCCAACCCCUCUCUACAGAGACUAUAUAGUUUAUAACCAUAUUUAGUCUGUAGAUCCGACCACAAGUGAGGCAAGGUGGCGAGUACAUAACCACAGCAGCAGUGGGGAAACCGAAGCAUGGAGAAUAUUCGCUUAAUUUAAGAAUACUCAAGUCUUCAAGCUAGAACUAACAGCAUAUGAGUGGCAGGCAGGGGCUAUAGCUCUCGCUCUUCAUGGCCAUGACGAUGGCCUGCCUGCCACAUAUGGAGACGGGUCGGCUCCUCCGCUCCAUUCAGUGCGCCAAACAGAACAGAACCGAGCACCGAAUGGAUCCCAGCUGAACUACACCAGACUAAAAUAAAGAGAACUAAAUGGAAUGGACCUAGGGGCGUCGACAGUAACUGUUUUCGGUUGGGGGAGUAGUAACUAG